rnacentral:sRNA from 1 species
GGUAGUGGGCUAUCAAAACUUAUUAACAUUAGUGUCACUAAAGUUGGUAUUCCACCCCCCACUGCUAAAU